rnacentral:rRNA from 1 species
UACGGGGGGGGCAAGCGUUGUUCGGAAUUACUGGGCGUAAAGGGCGCGUAGGCGGUUUGCUAAGUUGGAUGUGAAAACUCUGGGCUUAACCCAGAGCCUGCAUCCAAAACUGGCAAACUUGAGUACUGGAGGGGAAAGCGGAAUUCCUGGUGUAGCGGUGAAAUGCGUAGAUAUCAGGAAGAACACCCGUGGCUAAGGCGGCUCUCUAGUACGGUACUGACGCUGAGACGCGAAAGCGUGGGGAGCGGACAGG